rnacentral:rRNA from 2 species
AAAUUGAAGAGUUUGAUCAUGGCUCAGAUUGAACGCUGGCGGCAGGCCUAACACAUGCAAGUCGAACGGUAACAGAAAGCAGCUUGCUGCUUUGCUGACGAGUGGCGGACGGGUGAGUAAUGUCUGGGAAACUGCCUGAUGGAGGGGGAUAACUACUGGAAACGGUGGCUAAUACCGCAUAACGUCGCAAGACCAAAGAGGGGGACCUUCGGGCCUCUUGCCAUCAGAUGUGCCCAGAUGGGAUUAGCUUGUUGGUGAGGUAACGGCUCACCAAGGCGACGAUCCCUAGCUGGUCUGAGAGGAUGACCAGCCACACUGGAACUGAGACACGGUCCAGACUCCUACGGGAGGCAGCAGUGGGGAAUAUUGCACAAUGGGCGCAAGCCUGAUGCAGCCAUGCCGCGUGUAUGAAGAAGGCCUUCGGGUUGUAAAGUACUUUCAGCGGGGAGGAAGGUGUUGCGGUUAAUAACCGCAGCAAUUGACGUUACCCGCAGAAGAAGCACCGGCUAACUCCGUGCCAGCAGCCGCGGUAAUACGGAGGGUGCAAGCGUUAAUCGGAAUUACUGGGCGUAAAGCGCACGCAGGCGGUCUGUCAAGUCGGAUGUGAAAUCCCCGGGCUCAACCUGGGAACUGCAUUCGAAACUGGCAGGCUUGAGUCUUGUAGAGGGGGGUAGAAUUCCAGGUGUAGCGGUGAAAUGCGUAGAGAUCUGGAGGAAUACCGGUGGCGAAGGCGGCCCCCUGGACAAAGACUGACGCUCAGGUGCGAAAGCGUGGGGAGCAAACAGGAUUAGAUACCCUGGUAGUCCACGCCGUAAACGAUGUCUACUUGGAGGUUGUGCCCUUGAGGCGUGGCUUCCGGAGCUAACGCGUUAAGUAGACCGCCUGGGGAGUACGGCCGCAAGGUUAAAACUCAAAUGAAUUGACGGGGGCCCGCACAAGCGGUGGAGCAUGUGGUUUAAUUCGAUGCAACGCGAAGAACCUUACCUGGUCUUGACAUCCACAGAA